UCGGACGACGUCCUAGCCUCCCUCGCACGAAAAAAAACCCUCCUCUCGAUCCACCCCUGGUGCUGCCCCCAUCUCUCGCUCCGCCGCCGCCGUCGCCCCUGCUUCCCUCCCGCUCAGCCACCUCCACCGCUCCCACCCUUUUUCCCAUUAUCGGAUCCGCUUGCUCGUCAAGGUUACGUGGCGAAGCUCCACGUCCGCGAAGGGCACGUGCUCGUCAAGGAAGCGGCUCCCGGAUCUGAGAUCGCGCGGCCAUGACGGAAAGGGCUCGAGGUGGCCGCCGAAGACCAAGCCGUUCACGCAAGCCCUGGACACGAUCCUCCCGACGCAUGCACUCCUCGCGUCCUCGCGCACCAAGGUUAGGCGGCAGAUCUCCACGUCUGCGACGCGCUCGUGGUCGUCAAGGAAGGGGCUCCCGAUCGAAUCUGCGUUCACGCGGCUUGUGUGCCAUGGCCGCCAUGGCAAUCCAUGGCCGACAAGAGGGGACCCUCGGUCUCCAUCACCCACCCCAGGCCGGUUUCUACAGUAAGGGCUAUGGGGCUGGGCAGGUUAGGCGGAUGGACAGUGUGGGAGCUCCACGACCUGAAGGAGUGGGUGGUGUGAGAGCUGUGGGAGGCCGCCAAGGCCCUCACCGUGCGCCGCGCCGCCGUCAGGACGUACGCUUUGUGGUGGCGCUGGACAGGGACGUCCGCCACCCUUCCUCAAGCCCACCAUGGUCCGCAUCCCCUCCCCACCCCACCUACUCGGUUCUCUCUUUUCCCAAUCUCCCUGUCUGGUUAUAUUGUUUUCUCCCAGGCUAAUUUCAGAAAAGUAGAUCUUAAUUCGAAGCAAAAUCAUGGGCUAUUUGGAGGCCUGUGCUUAUUUGGUCGGACAAGCUAUAUGGAUUUGCAGUGAGCUAAUUGAAUUUCUAGAUGUUGCCGAAGGAGUUAAUCUUCAUACAUCUUUUGUGUCCACUGGAAGAAGUAGUAAAUGUCAUCUGUAUUAAUCUUGCCAUAGGAUUUUCAUUCUAAAGAACAUGUGUGGCAGGGGGUUCUUCUCGGCUGCCUCGGAGGCUCGGGCACAACACUACUUUCAUGGACUUUCCCCUCCUGCUCUUUGAGUUGUACUGUAUAUUGUUUACUACUGCUAUGAGCUGGAAAAAUAAUGACAUCUGUGUAUAGAGAUCGGAUUAAUAAUGGUCUCCUUCUGUACUAAUUUUUUGCAACACUGUCCAUCCGCAUUGGGUUCAGUGUUCGUGGCUGUCACAUUAUGAAUCUUUAUGAGACACGAUAGUUUGUUGUUAAAUUUUUAACCUUUUCUAUUUAAGAUAUAUAUAUAUAUAUAUUACAAUCUUCAAUGGGCAGCUCCAGGUUAGAUCUGGAGUGAGGUGAUAGGGGCAGCAAGCAACAAUAGGGAACCAAAAGGAUCUCUUGUAUGAAGAUUCGCAGGUUUUGUUCAGCUCCUGCAGAUUUCGGAAUCAGGAAUUGGCAAUGGCCUAUUACAGUAAUGCUUCCUCUACCCGUCAUUCACUUGACCUGGAGAGAGGUUUGCAUUCAGCUUUAAUUUCUGAGAGGUUUAUUAAUGAAGGUCCAAACAUAUUAGCAUAUCUGGAUGAGAUGUCAAUAUGAAAUGAUACUAAGGCAUAACAUCAAAUUUUCUUCAUGUUAUAUAUAUUCUGAUAUAUAUUCCCAGAGAAUAUUUGUGUUUUACACUUUUACUUGGCAUUAGUUUGGAGAAGUACUGUAAAAUUGAAAUGUUGCUUCGUUUAGUCAUUGUAACUACUGCACUGAAUACUAGAAAAAAAUGUGACACAGAAAUAUUAGCUUAGGUUGAGGAGAUGAAAUUUUAUUUUGUCCCCUGUUACACUUCAACUUGUAAGUUUUGACUAGAUUGUAGCAUUGGUAAAGAAGUCCCAGGGUCGUUGUGCAAAGCUAUUUAUACUGAAUAAUGCAGCCCAACUUGCAGCUUCAGUAACUGGUGGUGUUAUUACUAAAUGUGUUUUGUGCAGGUUUCAUGCUCUCCUAUUUGUGAUCUAUGGGAUUUGCCCUUGAUCUAUUCGAUACAACGACUAGAACCACGCUCCAGCCGCCUAUCGCAGGUCCUUUCGCCGCCGCUGAUCUAUUCGCUAUAUCGACGGAAACCACGCCCUGGCCGCCAUCACGGAUCCCUUUGCCGGCGCCGAGAUCCUAGACGUGCCGCCGCCGAGCGCUUGUCGCUCGCCCCUGCCCGUCUCUCCCUCCUCGGCGUUGGCUGCUUCGAGUCCUUCAGACAGUGUGCCCCAGUCGCGCUCCCGGUCCUCCUCUGCUGCGACCUCCUCCUGGGCGCCUCGGCCACGGCUGACCUCUUCUCCUUCGCCGAUCUCCUCGCGUCCGCCGCCGCUGCCCGGGGAGCACGCCGAUCGCAGGUCGUCCUGGAGGUCACGGCUAGGGAGUUCGUCCCCAAGAUGUCGCAGGAGGCUGUGGCGCAGAUGGGCCAAGAGGAGCAGGGGCACCUUGCACUUGCCGGCCCAGCAGCUCGUUAGCGCUGAGAGGAUCUCCAAGUGCAACUUGCAUAAUUCCGUCUGGCUACUCGAGCAGGUUCGCCGUUCUUGUUGUUCUUGCGUGUCAAGACUCUUGGCUGCAGACUUGCAGUUCUGCAGAUACACUAUGAUUGCAGCGGGUGUUGAAAGAAAUCAUCCGAUGGUCGUGAGUGACCGAAGGAAGUGCUUUGUAUUUGGUGACUGCUGGGGACGAGUUCACUAAGGAGUGGGACUAAGGUGUCGCCACUCCCCUGCCUUGUUACUAAAGCAACUAAUGUUGUUUGUGGUGCCGACUUCACUAUCUAAUUGUCAUCGGUUGAGGGAUCUUCCGUACUGUAAGGCCUUCCUGAAACUAUUAAACUUAAAGAUUAGCACGUUUUUUCUCUCUUUCAGAUAAAGCAAGCUUUGAUCAUCUUCUCAUGAUAACAACUUUAGAUUAUUAUCUGCUUUGGCUGUAAUUAGUGGGGUUUUUCCUUCGUCAUUUCUUUUAAGAUGUAUUUAGUUCUUCUGUGCUAUUCAGUACAUCAGGACUUCCUCAGUAUGGCCAACUUGGUCAUGGAAGUGAAUCAGGUUGGUUGCUACUAUGUUAACACACGACACCUACUAAAUUUGCCACGCUGGAGGCGGGGAAACCUAGACCUAUGCUAAUUGAUUUAAUUAAUUAUUAUUAUUCGUUAGGCGUCUGAACAGGCAGCUGAGCGUUGGACAUGGCCUUAUGCCUCCGAAUAAUAUGUUCAUACCCCAUAAGUUCUUUGAAAUAUUAAUACAUCCAGUUCAGUACUAUUUUCCAUAUUUUAACUUUACAUACUGUUUUUUUAUUAUCUGCUGUUCAUUAUAAGUACCAGUCAAAAAACUGUUAAUUAUAAGUGCAUAGCAUAGCCCUAUAUUUAUUAUAUUCAGUGACCUUUUUUAUGAAAAUCAUUGCUACGUGUCACCAUUUUAUAUUUGGUGCUCAUACCCUAAACCUUUUGUAUUUGCAAGAUCACUCCUUAAUGCUAAGAGGGGAGAGAUGAUUUUAGGGAUAUUUUUGUCAAAGGAGAACAUUGACAAAAACAUUGAAUACAAGGAGCUUGCAACCAUGAUGGAAUGAAUCUUUGCGUGGCAGCCUGCUUACCGCCCAGAUAGUGAGCCCCUGAGCUCCUGAAGAAAGGACAGUUGAAGGAGAUGAAAGAAGCGAACACAAAGGAUCCUACGCCAAAGAAUGAAGAGGCCGAGGAAGUGAUGGAAGGGGGUGCACAUUAUUUCUAUACACAUUUAACAUUUUUCAUAUGCUUGAUAACAUUUUUGAGAUACAAGAUUAACAUUCUUUUAAUAAAAAGGUCAACAUUUUUCCUAUACACACAUUAAAAUUCUCAAAUGCUUGGUUAACAUUUUUUAAAUAUAAGAUUUCAAAUGCUUGAUAACAUUUUUGAGAUACAAGACUAACAUUCUUUUAAUACAUGGUCAACA